rnacentral:lncRNA from 1 species
CAAAUUCCAUAGGAACCUUUCAAAUGUUAAUCUGAGAGUACUUGGAAAGGCUAGUCUGUCACCUUUUCCCACCUUUUUCCUGUGCAUGGACACAGCUGGGAUCACCACAGAACCAGCUGAAAACUCAGCACUCCCACACAGCCUGUGAUGCCAGGCUCUGACCUUGGCACAGGUAAGGAAACUUUUCCUGAACUUUUCCUGGCCCCCCUGGAUAUCUGUAUGCAGUCUCUAAGAAGGAACAAAAAAGAAAAGGGUUUUUCUUUUUUUUUUUUUUUUUUUUUUUUUUUUUUUUUUUUGUAUUGAAACUGUUAUUGUUUGAUAGCAAAAGGAGAACUAGCAGGAGAAAGGCUUCAACUUCCUGCUUGCCGCCUCCUUUCUAUCUAACAGAAGUCCUUGAAAUGGGAUGCAAUGAAUGUUUCCUUUAUUAAAAACCGAGCCUUCUCCAGCCCACACAGUUUCACAACACUUGAUAGAAUGCACAUUUUUCCAGUGUCUUUUUUUAACAAUGUCCAACAAUAAAAAAAAAAAGUCAGUAAUGGGGCCGUAUUCAGCAUUAGUGUAAUUGGGAGCAGCUCCCUCUGAUCUCAAUAGGAGGUGCGCUCACUUUCACCAGAACCAGAUUUGCUCACUCAUGGACACCUCAUGUUUAGGAUAGUCACCAAUCUCUGCUGAGAGCAGCUUAUAAACUUCCCCAGACUUGUGAAUCUAUUGGUUUAGCACUAGUCUGCAAAAUAAAGAAGGGAAAAGGCAGCAAAUGCGGGCUUUUAACCUAAAAGCUGGCUUUAUUCUCCUCCACCCAGGCUCUGCUACCUCUCUGCCUGCUGCAGCUGGCUGGCACCUCUGAGGAAGCUGCCACGUCACACCUCACUGGAGUCGGGGAGAGCGUGCUGCUUCUCUGCACCUUCUCUAGAGGAAGCACUGUCACUUGUGUUUUUCUGGACCAGGAUUCUGAUGCUUUGUGCCUCCAUUUGAUCCAUACUGAAGAAAAUUUACCUAACAUGCUGAGUUCAAUAAUGCUACAUGAUGGAGUUAACUUCAUUGAGUUUUGCAUGGCCUUCUUUCUAAUCAUCAGCCCUUUGAGAAAUGUGGAGGAGGGGCCCGUCCCUUCUCAGCAGUUAUGGGAAAUGAAGACCGAUUAAAUCAUAGGCUUUGCCCUGUCAGUAAAAAUGUAAAAAUGUCAAACAUGAAAAAAAGUAUUUCCAUAUUGGGUGAUGUGUUUUUUUUUUUUUUUUCUCAGCUACAAUUGCUCUAGCAGUAUAAGAACAUAGCACAAGGUUUAGAUUAGUCAAGCACAUUUUUGCACUAUGUAUAUAAUAACAAAAAAAACAGACCUGCCAACCCACCCCCAGGUCUUGAAUUUUUGGUAGAUUUUCUAGUAAAGUUCCCUUUAGUGUCCUUAGGGAAGUCUUCAAGGGUGGACCAAUGAAGACAUGCCUCUUGUUGCAUUUGCAUUUGUACAUCUUGAGCUUCAUUGCAGUACCCUCUGUCUGAACUUCAUUCUAUCAGUGUUCCACUCAGUGUAAGGACAGCCCCUAUUACCCCUUCCCUGGAGCAGCUCAGCUCCUCUCUGUCAUGGCAGCUUUUCUUGUUGGUGGAACACCGCAUUAGCAACCUGAUCCCACCACCCUCCCUGCCACACAGCCUAAGGAGCCAUGCUUCUAGCUGCAGAGGGGACUGAUUCUGAUCCCCUUAAUGCAUUACUCAUCGACUUUGUUGGUCUCAAAUGUCUGAGUAAGACCCUGAACAUGGCAUGACAAUGUCUCUCUCCUAUAUUUAUCCUCCAAAAAACUAGAAGUCAGCUCUUAAAUAAAUGUUGAGAGAAGCCUGUAGGGCA